CGGGCCAAGGAGUCUAACAUGUGUGCGAGUCGUAGGGUUCGUCCGAAACCCGAAGGCGCAGUGAAAGUAGAGGUCGGAUCUUUUUUUUAACGGGGAUUUUUCGACCGAGGCGGGAUCCGUCUAUUUUUGCAUUUCUUUUUUAAAAUCCUUUAAGAGAGAAAGAGAAAAUUUGAAAAACGAAACUUAUUUUGUUUCUUCCUUUUCUCCUUCGGGGGUUGAGGAGAAACAGAGUUUUUUUUUUUGGACGGCGCACCGCCGGCCCGUCUCGACCGCCGCGUCGGUGAGGCGGAGCAAGAGCACACACGUUGGGACCCGAAAGAUGGUGAACUAUUCCUAGGCAGGACGAAGCCAGAGGAAACUCUGGUGGAGGUCCGUAGCGUUUCUGACGUGCAAAUCGAUCGUCAGACCUGGGUAUAGGGGCGAAAGACUAAUCGAACCAUCUAGUAGCUGGUUCCCUCCGAAGUUUCCCUCAGGAUAGCUGGCUCUCGAGACACACAGUCUCAUCCGGUAAAGCGAAUGAUUAGAGGCCUUGGGGCCGAAACGACCUCAACCUAUUCUCAAACUUUCAAUGGGUGAGAAGUCCGGCUUGCUCGACUGAAGCCCGGACGUCGGAUGCGAGUGCCCAGUGGGCCACUUUUG
rnacentral:rRNA from 1 species